rnacentral:rRNA from 1 species
CUGGCUCAGGAUGAACGCUAGCUACAGGCUUAACACAUGCAAGUCGAGGGGCAGCAUGGUCUUAGCUUGCUAAGGCCGAUGGCGACCGGCGCACGGGUGAGUAACACGUAUCCAACCUGCCGUCUACUCUUGGACAGCCUUCUGAAAGGAAGAUUAAUACAAGAUGGCAUCAUGAGUCCGCAUGUUCACAUGAUUAAAGGUAUUCCGGUAGACGAUGGGGAUGCGUUCCAUUAGAUAGUAGGCGGGGUAACGGCCCACCUAGUCUUCGAUGGAUAGGGGUUCUGAGAGGAAGGUCCCCCACAUUGGAACUGAGACACGGUCCAAACUCCUACGGGAGGCAGCAGUGAGGAAUAUUGGUCAAUGGGCGAGAGCCUGAACCAGCCAAGUAGCGUGAAGGAUGACUGCCCUAUGGGUUGUAAACUUCUUUUAUAAAGGAAUAAAGUCGGGUAUGCAUACCCGUUUGCAUGUACUUUAUGAAUAAGGAUCGGCUAACUCCGUGCCAGCAGCCGCGGUAAUACGGAGGAUCCGAGCGUUAUCCGGAUUUAUUGGGUUUAAAGGGAGCGUAGAUGGAUGUUUAAGUCAGUUGUGAAAGUUUGCGGCUCAACCGUAAAAUUGCAGUUGAUACUGGAUAUCUUGAGUGCAGUUGAGGCAGGCGGAAUUCGUGGUGUAGCGGUGAAAUGCUUAGAUAUCACGAAGAACUCCGAUUGCGAAGGCAGCCUGCUAAGCUGCAACUGACAUUGAGGCUCGAAAGUGUGGGUAUCAAACAGGAUUAGAUGCCCUGGUAGUCCACACGGUAAACGAUGAAUACUCGCUGUUUGCGAUAUACUGCAAGCGGCCAAGCGAAAGCGUUAAGUAUUCCACCUGGGGAGUACGCCGGCAACGGUGAAACUCAAAGGAAUUGACGGGGGCCCGCACAAGCGGAGGAACAUGUGGUUUAAUUCGAUGAUACGCGAGGAACCUUACCCGGGCUUAAAUUGCAGAUGAAUUACGGUGAAAGCCGUAAGCCGCAAGGCAUCUGUGAAGGUGCUGCAUGGUUGUCGUCAGCUCGUGCCGUGAGGUGUCGGCUUAAGUGCCAU